UGCUCAGAAUGUGCAGUGUGAUAAGGCAAAAGCAGAAGUAGUACAAAGUGGUACAGGAAUAUUCAUAGGAGGACUUUAGAGAAGCCUGCAUGGAUAAGGUGAUGUGAGCUGGACCAUGAAAGAUAAAGAAAGGUUUGACAGAGAAAAGAAGAAACCUUUCAGGAAAAUGGAAUAGCAUAUACAAAGACACAGAAGCCCCACAGAGCAAGGCAUGUUGGAAGAAUGAUGUGGCCACAUCUUAGUUUGAAAUAACUUAAGUAUCAGGCUCAUGGGAAUGUGGCAAAAGAUGCAGUGGGAAAGUUAGACCAGAUUACAAAGGGUCUCAAAAACUGUGCACGACUUUAUGAAGUUCUGAGUCAUCAUUAAGCCUGGGAUUCAAUUAAUAAGCACAGAUAAUCUGAGAGUGGGGAAAUGGGUGAGGAUAUAAAGGAAAUAGGAUUGGCCAAGAGUUGGAAAAAAUCAAUGGAAGAGACAUAUACAACUUUUGAAGCAGAGGAAAUUUAAAAUUUAAAAUUCCUAUUUAAUGGAGAAACACAAGAGGCAUUCCUUCUAAGAUCAGGAACAAGGAUCCCAGUUGAAAGAAGAGCCCUAGGAGACUGACAGUCUCAUUGGAGAAGGAAAGAGAUUGGUGACCAUGCUCUGGCUCCUGAGGCUUCCGCUCAGAAGUGGCACACUUCAUUUUUGCUUGUAUUUCAUUGGCUAAAGCAAGUCAGUAUGCCCAAACAUAAAGCCAUGGGGCAGAAAAGUAAAAUUCUCCUAAAGAGUGAAUGGCUUUAACUUUGAUACAAUCUACCACAUAGCCACCAUAUCCGGUUCACCUUCUAGGGGCAUGGAGGCCUGUGGGACAUUUCCUCAGGCUUCUAGGUCAGUGAGCUUUGGAACCCAGCUAAGGGGAAGCCCCUGCAGGAGACAGGAGAAUGUGAGGUUGGGAGAAGCCAGGGCAUCCCCCAUCUCCCCCCCUCCCUCCCCCCCCCACCCCCCAGUUGCAGGAAGGCUUCUGCAGAGGCUGGCUGUAUUUCCUCCAUGACUCUAGCAUCCAGCAGCCAGGUCUCCUGAGUUUCC